GACAAGAAAAAAAAAAAAAGAUGAUUGUGUAACUUCUUGUUAAGCAAACAUUUUCUUUUAUGCAGGGAAAGGUACAGGGGUCCAGGAGAAAGGAAAAAAAAAAUGUGAUCAUGUAAUUAAAGACUGUAUCAAAAUAUAUAUCCACAAGAAAGCCAAAACAAAAAAGUUGCAUAAGCAGAUUUAAUUCUAGAAUUUGAUAACUUUAAAGUACUUGGUUUUACAGUCUUCAGCAUGCCUUUCUAAUAUAUGCUUUUCAGCCUCUGUGCUCAUUUCACUGUUUUUACUGCUACCUAAAACUGAUCCCAUCCCUUCACAAAAAUAAGUAUCCUCAUCAAAUACAAAAUGGAUAUUUACAUUGUAAAAAUAAGAACCACCAACAGAAUACAAACAAGAAAGGGUUAUGUCUGUAGGGCUGUAGGGCUGAGCUACAGCUGUAUCGAGGUAAAACAGAUUGGCUUAAUUGCAAGAGCUUUGCAUGAUGAGGUUCUGAUGGGAGAAUAUCUUAUUGCUUAGCCAGAUGUUGUGAGUUUACCCUGACUGUGAGAGUGAUGACACAGCUUACUUGCUCUUCAGAGCCAUGUAGUAUUAGGCAGGGAGUUGGAGUACUUUAGUCAUCACAACUCUGAAGGUUUUCUUCUCGCUUUGGAGACAAGCCAGAGCCUUUUAACAACACAUUAUGCUGGUGACUGGAUAGUUCCGGGGGCUAAUGAGGAGACAGAAAAUCACAGUGAACCCAGUGACCAUUUCAAAUCCAAGUGUUGCAUCAGAGCAGUUUUCCAAAGCUGGUGAUGCUCUGCGGAUCAGUGAUUUGCUUCAGGAUGCCCCUCACUCUCCUGCACUAACUGCAGCUCCUGCUGAAUUGGGAAAGAAAAGAACAUAUUGAAAAAGAGAGAGAAAGACAAAGAGGAAAGUGUGCUUCUGGAUUUUGCAAAUAUCUCUAAGUGUCACUACAAGAUUUUACCUGCACACUCACCAAUUUCAUGUUAGGCAUGGUAAGUGACUUAUCUUUGCCUUAUAGUAAUGGAAAACGUUCUUAAAGAAACAAAGGUUCCUCUCUGGCAGAUACUCAUCCAGUUCCUUAGCUAGUGCACAUUCCUGCAGCCAUCAUCAGGCUGUAGUAGUAUGCUGUCCUACAGUUAGGUUAUUAUUUGCUCAAAACGGGUUUCAGUUGAAGGUAUUAUAAGAAAGUGUAAGUCUAUUUGUGCCCUGGAAAACAGUGGUUCAUUUUCUUCCGUUACCUCUGAUCAGUAUUUUAUCCCUAGAAGUAGUUACAGGCUUGUGAUAAAACCAAAGCUCAAAAUGAAUGUACUGUAUUCAGAAAUAUGUCUCACAAUCGAUCACUAAGUGUUGGGGAACACUCCCAGCUAACACAGCAUUACUGUUACCUGAUUAUACGUAGCUGUAUUAAUCAGAUGGAGGAUAUAUUUUCAGACAUCUGAAUAUGUUAAUGUUUUUUCUCAGAACAUUAUCUUUUAACUCUGUACCUACUUUUCUCAGUUUGCACAUUUUCUUAAAGUAUAGAAAGAAUAUUUAUGUACUUUAGGUUCUGAUUCCCCACAGCUCAGGAUGUGGCCCAUUGCUGUGGUAUGUGACACAGCUAGUAUUGAGAAAAAGGGAGGUUACACCUAA
ensembl:lncRNA